rnacentral:antisense_RNA from 1 species
AUAACUCGAACCAUUUAAUUACUUACACAUUCCUUUUUAGGUAGACACAAAAUUCUAAAUGCGAAAAGAAAUGAAAAAAUGAAAAGAGACUGCAUGUAUCAAUGCAGUCUUCAAGGGUGAAACA